rnacentral:rRNA from 1 species
GGGUUGUGAGGUUAAGCGACUAAGCGUACACGGUGGAUGCCCUGGCAGUCAGAGGCGAUGAAGGACGUGCUAAUCUGCGAAAAGCGCCGGCGAGGUGAUAUGAACCUUUGACCCGGCGAUGUCCGAAUGGGGAAACCCAGUGUGUUCCGACACACUAUCGUUAACUGAAUACAUAGGUUAACGAGGCGAACCGGGGGAACUGAAACAUCUAAGUACCCCGAGGAAAAGAAAUCAACCGAGAUUCCCCCAGUAGCGGCGAGCGAACGGGGAGCAGCCCAGAGUCUGAAUCAGCUUGUGUGUUAGUGGAAGCGUCUGGAAAGUCGCACGGUACAGGGUGACAGUCCCGUACACGAAAGCACACAGGUUGUGAACUCGAAGAGUAGGGCGGGACACGUGGUAUCCUGUCUGAAUAUGGGGGGACCAUCCUCCAAGGCUAAAUACUCCUGACUGACCGAUAGUGAACCAGUACCGUGAGGGAAAGGCGAAAAGAACCCCGGCGAGGGGAGUGAAAAAGAACCUGAAACCGUGUACGUACAAGCAGUGGGAGCACCUUCGUGGUGUGACUGCGUACCUUUUGUAUAAUGGGUCAGCGACUUAUAUUCUGUAGCAAGGUUAACCGUAUAGGGGAGCCGAAGGGAAACCGAGUCUUAACUGGGCGUUAAGUUGCAGGGUAUAGACCCGAAACCCGGUGAUCUAGCCAUGGGCAGGUUGAAGGUUGGGUAACACUAACUGGAGGACCGAACCGACUAAUGUUGAAAAAUUAGCGGAUGACUUGUGGCUGGGGGUGAAAGGCCAAUCAAACCGGGAGAUAGCUGGUUCUCCCCGAAAGCUAUUUAGGUAGCGCCUCGUGAACUCAUCUUCGGGGGUAGAGCACUGUUUCGGCUAGGGGGCCAUCCCGGCUUACCAACCCGAUGCAAACUACGAAUACCGAAGAAUGUUAUCACGGGAGACACACGGCGGGUGCUAACGUCCGUCGUGAAGAGGGAAACAACCCAGACCGCCAGCUAAGGUCCCAAAGUCAUGGUUAAGUGGGAAACGAUGUGGGAAGGCACAGACAGCCAGGAUGUUGGCUUAGAAGCAGCCAUCAUUUAAAGAAAGCGUAAUAGCUCACUGGUCGAGUCGGCCUGCGCGGAAGAUGUAACGGGGCUAAACCAUGCACCGAAGCUGCGGCAGCGACGCUUAUGCGUUGUUGGGUAGGGGAGCGUUCUGUAAGCCGUUGAAGGUGGCCUGUGAGGGUUGCUGGAGGUAUCAGAAGUGCGAAUGCUGACAUAAGUAACGAUAAAGCGGGUGAAAAGCCCGCUCGCCGGAAGACCAAGGGUUCCUGUCCAACGUUAAUCGGGGCAGGGUGAGUCGACCCCUAAGGCGAGGCCGAAAGGCGUAGUCGAUGGGAAACAGGUUAAUAUUCCUGUACUUGGUGUUGCUGCGAAGGGGGGACGGAGAAGGCUAUGUUAGCCGGGCGACGGUUGUCCCGGUUUAAGCAUGUAGGCGGAGGUUCCAGGUAAAUCCGGUACCUUUUAACGCUGAGGUGUGAUGACGAGGCACUACGGUGCUGAAGUAACAAAUGCCCUGCUUCCAGGAAAAGCCUCUAAGCAUCAGGUAACACGAAAUCGUACCCCAAACCGACACAGGUGGUCAGGUAGAGAAUACCAAGGCGCUUGAGAGAACUCGGGUGAAGGAACUAGGCAAAAUGGUGCCGUAACUUCGGGAGAAGGCACGCUGAUAUGUAGGUGAAGCCCCUGCGGGUGGAGCUGAAAUCAGUCGAAGAUACCAGCUGGCUGCAACUGUUUAUUAAAAACACAGCACUGUGCAAACACGAAAGUGGACGUAUACGGUGUGACGCCUGCCCGGUGCCGGAAGGUUAAUUGAUGGGGUUAGCGGCAACGCGAAGCUCUUGAUCGAAGCCCCGGUAAACGGCGGCCGUAACUAUAACGGUCCUAAGGUAGCGAAAUUCCUUGUCGGGUAAGUUCCGACCUGCACGAAUGGCGUAAUGAUGGCCAGGCUGUCUCCACCCGAGACUCAGUGAAAUUGAACUCGCUGUGAAGAUGCAGUGUACCCGCGGCAAGACGGAAAGACCCCGUGAACCUUUACUAUAGCUUGACACUGAACACUGGUCCUUGAUGUGUAGGAUAGGUGGGAGGCUUUGAAGCGUGGACGCCAGUCUGCGUGGAGCCGUCCUUGAAAUACCACCCUUUAAUGGCUGGUGUUCUAACGUAGACCCGUGAUCCGGGUUGCGGACAGUGUCUGGUGGGUAGUUUGACUGGGGCGGUCUCCUCCCAAAGAGUAACGGAGGAGCACGAAGGUUAGCUAAUCCUGGUCGGACAUCAGGAGGUUAGUGCAAUGGCAUAAGCUAGCUUGACUGCGAGAGUGACGGCUCGAGCAGGUGCGAAAGCAGGUCAUAGUGAUCCGGUGGUUCUGAAUGGAAGGGCCAUCGCUCAACGGAUAAAAGGUACUCCGGGGAUAACAGGCUGAUACCGCCCAAGAGUUCAUAUCGACGGCGGUGUUUGGCACCUCGAUGUCGGCUCAUCACAUCCUGGGGCUGAAGUAGGUCCCAAGGGUAUGGCUGUUCGCCAUUUAAAGUGGUACGCGAGCUGGGUUUAGAACGUCGUGAGACAGUUCGGUCCCUAUCUGCCGUGGGCGCUGGAGAAUUGAGGGGGGCUGCUCCUAGUACGAGAGGACCGGAGUGGACGCAUCACUGGUGUUCGGGUUGUCAUGCCAAUGGCACUGCCCGGUAGCUAAAUGCGGAAAAGAUAAGUGCUGAAAGCAUCUAAGCACGAAACUUGCCCCGAGAUGAGUUCUCCCUGACUCUUUAAGAGUCCUGAAGGAACGUUGAAGACGACGACGUUGAUAGGUCGGGUGUGUAAGCGCAGCGAUGCGUUGAGCUAACCGAUACUAAUGAACCGUGAGGCUUAACCUUACAACGCCGAAGGUGUUU